AUUCCAAACAUAAAGCAAACACAAUUCAUUUAUUAAUCAUUAUUAUUCAGUUUUACUCUCAAAAAAAUAAAUUUCAUUUCAAAUGCCAUCCGCUCGUAGGUCCUCGACUCUAAAUUUAUUCCGAUUUGAUAAUACCGAAUAAAAAAUAACACAUCCGUUCGCCACCUACUAUCACCUACACCUUCGUCCAUUACUAUGUGUUAAGCUGUUAUUAUGACAGUUAGUGUGUGGGACAGUGGCCGAGAAAGCCGUGGGGACAUUGCCAUUGAAGGAUAGGGAGGGAGGGGUUUGUAUAACGUGGGGAGAUGAUAGGGACAUCGAACAACCGUGCGGACUUUGUCCCUUUGUCCCCACCCAAGCUUCUGCAGCCACUGGUUAUCCAAUGUUCCCAUCCGGGCGAAAGGGUCGAUUUGGAAGAUACCCUUGGUCGCAGUUGGUGGACUGAAGUGGAGGGAUUACCCCAGAGACUAUGUGGCCGAGAGGAUGCUCAUAUGCUGCAUUAUUGCAGCUAUUCAGACUCCAUCCGCAAGAUUUUCCACGAGAGAAGCGUGUCCUGUACAAGGAUUAUUUGACCUACUGGUUCCCAAUUCGUUGAAAGUGGACUACUUUCUCCUCCUAUUUUUAUAUUGGUUAUCUAUGAGCUACAAAAUCUAAAAACAUACCAAAAUUCAUUUACAUUUGUAAGUCUCUUCUACGAGCGAA